ensembl:ncRNA F26F12.9 ncRNA
CUAUAUAGUACAAAGUCAAUCACCUAAGCUCACGGAAACAAGCGGCAAGUAGGCGGUAGGUAGGCACGUAGGUAGCAUGACUAAACGCACGCGCGCACGCAUGUAGGCAAAAUAAACGCGGCUGCUUAGGGUUUACUCAAUUUUCUAAA